AGUGAACGCUGGCGGUAGGCCUAACACAUGCAAGUCGAACGGCAGCACAGUAAGAGCUUGCUCUUACGGGAGGCGAGUGGAGGACGGGUGAGGAAUACAUCGGAAUCUACUUUUUCGUGGGGGAUAACGUAGGGAAACUUACGCUAAUACCGCAUACGACCUACGGGUGAAAGCAGGGGAUCUUCGGACCUUGCGCGAUUGAAUGAGCCGAUGUCGGAUUAGCUAGUUGGCGGGGUAAAGGCCCACCAAGGCGACGAUCCGUAGCUGGUCUGAGAGGAUGAUCAGCCACACUGGAACUGAGACACGGUCCAGACUCCUACGGGAGGCAGCAGUGGGGAAUAUUGGACAAUGGGCGCAAGCCUGAUCCAGCCAUACCGCGUGGGUGAAGAAGGCCUUCGGGUUGUAAAGCCCUUUUGUUGGGAAAGAAAAGCAGCAGGUUAAUACCCCGCUGUUCUGACGGUACCCAAAGAAUAAGCACCGGCUAACUUCGUG
rnacentral:rRNA from 1 species